GAUGAACGCUAGCGGAGGCUUAACACAUGCAAGUCGAGGGGCAGCAUAGGGUAGCAAUACUCUGAUGGCGACCGGCAAACGGGUGAGUAACGCGUAUGCAACCUACCCUGUACAGGGGAUAACCCGGAGAAAUUCGGACUAAUAUCCCGUAAUAAUAUCCGGAGGCAUCUUUGGAUAUUUAAAGUUCCGACGGUACGGGAUGGGCAUGCGUAACAUUAGCUGGUUGGUAAGGUAACGGCUUACCAAGGCUAUGAUGUUUAGGGGUCCUGAGAGGGUGGUCCCCCACACUGGUACUGAGACACGGACCAGACUCCUACGGGAGGCAGCAGUGAGGAAUAUUGGUCAAUGGGCGCAAGCCUGAACCAGCCAUCCCGCGUGCAGGAAGACGGCCCUAUGGGUUGUAAACUGCUUUUCCAGGGAGAGAAACUUACGCACGUGUUGCGUGACUGACGGUACCCUGGGAAUAAGCAUCGGCUAACUCCGUG
rnacentral:rRNA from 1 species